AGCGACUUAUAUUCUGUAGCAAGGUUAACCGAAUAGGGGAGCCGGAGGGAAACCGAGUCUUAAUUGGGCGUUAAGUUGCAGGGUAUAGACCCGAAACCCGGUGAUCUAGCCAUGGGCAGGUUGAAGGUUGGGUAACACUAACUGGAGGACCGAACCGACUAAUGUUGAAAAAUUAGCGGAUGACCUGUGGCUGGGGGUGAAAGGCCAAUCAAACCGGGAGAUAGCUGGUUCUCCCCGAAAGCUAUUUAGGUAGCGCCUCGUGAAUUCAUCUCCGGGGGUAGAGCACUGUUUCGGCUAGGGGGCCAUCCCGGCUUACCAACCCGAUGCAAACUGCGAAUACCGGAGAAUGUUAUCACGGGAGACACACGGCGGGUGCUAACGUCCGUCGUGAAGAGGGAAACAACCCAGACCGCCAGCUAAGGUCCCAAAGUCAUGGUUAAGUGGGAAACGAUGUGGGAAGGCCCAGACAGCCAGGAUGUUGGCUUAGAAGCAGCCAUCAUUUAAAGAAAGCGUAAUAGCUCACUGGUCGAGUCGGCCUGCGCGGAAGAUGUAACGGGGCUAAACCAUGCACCGAAGCUGCGGCAGCGAACGUAUCACCCAAGACAACUUUACGGAGUUGACGAUUGACGGAGCGAAGCGACGUCAAAGCGUUCAUUAAAGUCGAGUUGGCUUAGGGAUACGUUCGUUGGGUAGGGGAGCGUUCUGUAAGCCUGUGAAGGUGUGUCGUGAGGCAUGCUGGAGGUAUCAGAAGUGCGAAUGCUGACAUAAGUAACGAUAAAGCGGGUGAAAAGCCCGCUCGCCGGAAGACCAAGGGUUCCUGUCCAACGUUAAUCGGGGCAGGGUGAGUCGACCCCUAAGGCGAGGCCGAAAGGCGUAGUCGAUGGGAAACGGGUUAAUAUUCCCGUACUUGGUGUUACUGCGAAGGGGGGACGGAGAAGGCUAUGUUGGCCGGGCGACGGUUGUCCCGGUUUAAGCGUGUAGGUGUGUGUUCCAGGUAAAUCCGGUUCACUUUAACACUGAGGCGUGACGACGAGGCACUACGGUGCUGAAGCAACAAAUGCCCUGCUUCCAGGAAAAGCCUCUAAGCAUCAGGUAACAUCAAAUCGUACCCCAAACCGACACAGGUGGUCAGGUAGAGAAUACCAAGGCGCUUGAGAGAACUCGGGUGAAGGAACUAGGCAAAAUGGUGCCGUAACUUCGGGAGAAGGCACGCUGACACGUAGGUGAAGUGAUUUACUCAUGGAGCUGAAGUCAGUCGAAGAUACCAGCUGGCUGCAACUGUUUAUUAAAAACACAGCACUGUGCAAACACGAAAGUGGACGUAUACGGUGUGACGCCUGCCCGGUGCCGGAAGGUUAAUUGAUGGGGUCAGCGCAAGCGAAGCUCCUGAUCGAAGCCCCGGUAAACGGCGGCCGUAACUAUAACGGUCCUAAGGUAGCGAAAUUCCUUGUCGGGUAAGUUCCGACCUGCACGAAUGGCGUAAUGAUGGCCAGGCUGUCUCCACCCGAGACUCAGUGAAAUUGAACUCGCUGUGAAGAUGCAGUGUACCCGCGGCAAGACGGAAAGACCCCGUGAACCUUUACUAUAGCUUGACACUGAACAUUGAGCCUUGAUGUGUAGGAUAGGUGGGAGGCUUUGAAGUGUGGACGCCAGUCUGCAUGGAGCCGACCUUGAAAUACCACCCUUUAAUGUUUGAUGUUCUAACGUGGACCCGUAAUCCGGGUUGCGGACAGUGUCUGGUGGGUAGUUUGACUGGGGCGGUCUCCUCCUAAAGAGUAACGGAGGAGCACGAAGGUUGGCUAAUCCUGGUCGGACAUCAGGAGGUUAGUGCAAUGGCAUAAGCCAGCUUGACUGCGAGCGUGACGGCGCGAGCAGGUGCGAAAGCAGGUCAUAGUGAUCCGGUGGUUCUGAAUGGAAGGGCCAUCGCUCAACGGAUAAAAGGUACUCCGGGGAUAACAGGCUGAUACCGCCCAAGAGUUCAUAUCGACGGCGGUGUUUGGCACCUCGAUGUCGGCUCAUCACAUCCUGGGGCUGAAGUAGGUCCCAAGGGUAUGGCUGUUCGCCAUUUAAAGUGGUACGCGAGCUGGGUUUAGAACGUCGUGAGACAGUUCGGUCCCUAUCUGCCGUGGGCGCUGGAGAACUGAGGGGGGCUGCUCCUAGUACGAGAGGACCGGAGUGGACGCAUCACUGGUGUUCGGGUUGUCAUGCCAAUGGCACUGCCCGGUAGCUAAAUGCGGAAGAGAUAAGUGCUGAAAGCAUCUAAGCACGAAACUUGCCCCGAGAUGAGUUCUCCCUGAGACUUAGAGUCUCCUGAAGGAACGUUGAAGACGACGACGUUGAUAGGCCGGGUGUGUAAGCGCAGCGAUGCGUUGAGCUAACCGGUACUAAUGAACCGUGAGGCUUAACCUUACA
rnacentral:rRNA from 1 species